rnacentral:rRNA from 1 species
UACGUAGGGGGCAAGCGUUGUCCGGAUUUACUGGGCGUAAAGAGCGUGUAGGCGGCCAAGCAGGUCCGUUGUGAAAACUGGAGGCUCAACCUCGAGACGUCGGCGGAAACCAUCUGGCUAGAGUCCGGAAGAGGAGAGUGGAAUUCCUGGUGUAGCGGUGAAAUGCGCAGAUAUCAGGAAGAACACCCGUGGCGAAGGCGGCUCUCUGGGACGGUACUGACGCUGAGACGCGAAAGCGUGGGGAGCGAACAGG